rnacentral:ncRNA from 2 species
GUGUAAGUAUGAACAAAUUCAGACUGUGAAACUGCGAAUGGCUCAUUAAAUCAGUUAUAGUUUGUUUGAUGGUAUCUACUACUCGGAUAACCGUAGUAAUUCUAGACCUAAUACGUGCAACAAACCCCGACUUCUGGAAUGGAUGCAUUUAUUAGAUAAAAGGUCGAUGCGGUCUUUGCCCGUUGCUGCGAUGAUUCAUGAUAACUCGAUGGAUCGCACGGCCAUCGUGCCGGCGACGCAUCAUUCAAAUAUCUGCCCUAUCAACUUUCGAUGGUAGGAUAGUGGCCUACCAUGGUUGUCACGGGUGACAGAG